GACGAACGCUGGCGGCGUGCUUAACACAUGCAAGUCGAACGGAAAGGCCCUGCUUGCAGGGUACUCGAGUGGCGAACGGGUGAGUAACACGUGGGUGAUCUGCCCUGCACUUCGGGAUAAGCCUGGGAAACUGGGUCUAAUACCGGAUAGGAGCCAUUUUCGUGUGAUGGUUGGAAAGUUUUUUCGGUGUAGGAUGAGCUCGCGGCCUAUCAGCUUGUUGGUGGGGUAAUGGCCUACCAAGGCGGCGACGGGUAGCCGGCCUGAGAGGGUGGACGGCCACAUUGGGACUGAGAUACGGCCCAGACUCCUACGGGAGGCAGCAGUGGGGAAUAUUGCACAAUGGGCGCAAGCCUGAUGCAGCGACGCCGCGUGGGGGAUGACGGCCUUCGGGUUGUAAACUCCUUUCGCUAGGGACGAAGCUUUUUGUGACGGUACCUAGAUAAGAAGCACCGGCUAACUACGUG
rnacentral:rRNA from 1 species